rnacentral:rRNA from 1 species
UGGGGAAUAUUGGACAAUGGGCGCAAGCCUGAUCCAGCCAUGCCGCGUGAGUGACGAAGGCCUUAGGGUUGUAAAGCUCUUUUUGGCGGGGAAGAUAAUGACGGUACCCGCAGAAUAAGCUCCGGCUAACUUCGUGCCAGCAGCCGCGGUAAUACGAAGGGAGCUAGCGUUGUUCGGAAUCACUGGGCGUAAAGCGCACGUAGGUGGGCAGUUAAGUCAGGGGUGAAAGCCCGAGGCUCAACCUCGGAAUUGCCUCUGAUACUGGCUGUCUAGAGUUCGAGAGAGGUGAGUGGAAUUCCUAGUGUAGAGGCGAAAUUCGUAGAUAUUAGGAAGAACACCGGUGGCGAAGGCGGCUCACUGGCUCGAUACUGACACUGAGGUGCGAAAGCGUGGGGAGCAAACAGGAUUAGAUACCCACGUAGUCCCUGAGCGGGCUGGCAAGGCGCAU